GUUGUUGACAAUGUUUGUUUUUCACAAACCUUUGUCAUCAUGCCUGUGAGGUGUUCUGUGCCUGGCUGUGCUAAUUACAAACAAGUGUGAAAAUGUGUUAUCUUUCACUAUUCUACCUACCAGAGAUUUACCCCGAUGCUGCCAGUGGCUUGCAGAUAUCAAGAAUGAUGCCCCUUACGAUGACCAAAGAUUAUCAUAGGGAUUCUCAGGCUGAACUGAUAUGAUGGGGAAUCCAUUUCGACUACAGCUGAGAAGUGAUGCGAUACCAUACAUUUUUUCCCCUUCACAACAAAACGGAAGAUUCUCGAUUACAGGUUAUCUGGAGUCAUUCCAGUGACAGUGCCCCACUGAAAAAUACCCCAAAGCGGCGGCAUUUUGGGUACACGAGCAUGAGGGAGGGGAAACCUUGUGGUUAUGAAGCACAACAAGAUUGUGGGACAGAAACCAGCAAGGGACACUGAAAGGAGAUGUGCAAAACCAGCAAAUCUUCUGCAAGAGGACCAAACAGUUGGUGGUUAAGAAGCCAUACACCACUUUCUGCAGAACCUUACCCAGCUGGCCGUUCAGACAGGACAAGACCAUUCGCCAUAAGCACAAAGAGUCUCAGCUUCCCCAGCCCACCAUGCCAAACACCAUUGGCAGUGUACUGAAGCCGGAUAAAGCCCAAUUCUGAUCUUUUUUUCACUAAUUGGUCUUUUGACCAAUCAGAUCAGUUCUGAAAAAGAUCUGAUGUGAUUAAGACCAAUUAGUGCAAUAAAGAUCAGAAUUGGUCUGCCUGUGUAAACGCAGCCAGUGUGGCUCAGCAUAAGACCAUGUUGCACAAGGGUCUCCAACCCUGUUCCUGUAGAGCUACCCUCCUGUAGGUUUUCGCUCCAACCCCAGUUGUAACUAACCUGGGUCAGCUUAUCAACCAGCUAAAUGAAAACGUACAGGACGGUAGCUCUCCAGGAACGAAGUUGGAGAGCCCUGAUGUAGAACCACUAUAAAAUAAAUAUGGAUAUUUUCUAUCAAUCUU